rnacentral:rRNA from 1 species
GCAAUACUAGACCGGCAAACGGGUGCGUAACACGUACACAACUUUCCGCCAAGAGGGGGAUAGCCCGGGGAAACCCGGAUUAAUACCCCGUAAUAUAUAGGGGUGGCAUCAUCUUUAUAUUAUAGCCCCGGCGCUUGGUGAUGGGUGUGCGGCUGAUUAGGUAGUUGGCGGGGUAACGGCCCACCAAGCCUACGAUCAGUAGCUGAUGUGAGAGCAUGAUCAGCCACACGGGCACUGAGACACGGGCCCGACUCCUACGGGAGGCAGCAGUAAGGAAUAUUGGUCAAUGGGCGCAAGCCUGAACCAGCCAUGCCGCGUGGAGGAUGAAGGCCCUCUGGGUUGUAAACUUCUUUUAUUUGGGACGAAAAACGGAAAUUCUUUUCCACUUGACGGUACCAGAUGAAUAAGCACCGGCUAACUCCGUGCCAGCAGCCGCGGUAAUACGGAGGGUGCAAGCGUUAUCCGGAUUCACUGGGUUUAAAGGGUGCGUAGGCGGGCUGUUAAGUCAGUGGUGAAAUCUUUGGGCUUAACCCGGAAACUGCCAUUGAUACUAUCAGUCUUGAAUAUUGUGGAGGCCUGCGGAAUAUGUCAUGUAGCGGUGAAAUGCUUAGAUAUGACAUAGAACACCAAUUGCGAAGGCAGCAGGCUACGCAUAUAUUGACGCUGAGGCACGAAAGCG